AGAGGGUGAGGACCCCGUCCUUACUCUGAACCAAAAAACCGAAAAAAACUUCAGCUUAUGAGUCGUGUUCCUUGGGAGUGGAGCGCAAAUCGGGUGGUAGCUUUCAUGGGGCGGCUAGAUAUUGAAAAGACGCCGAUAGUGAAGAAGUACCGUGAGGGAAAGAUGAAAAGAACCUCGAAAGGGGGAUUAAAAUUGCCUGAAACCGUUGAAAGGGAACCGAUUGGAGAUUUAUUUGCUAUGCUCAAGGCAUGAAUGUGUCUUUUUUUGCAAGCUUGUUAGGUCAAGAUCUAUUACGUGAGCUGCGGCUGUACUUUUGCUCUGCAGGGGUGUUGUGGUUUUCAGUGUAGAUUUUGGCGAGUGAUGUAACCAUCGCAAACAUCUUCAAACGACCCGUCUUGAAACACGGACCAAGGAGUCUAACUUACGUGCAAGUCCUAAGGUGGCAAACCUUAAGGCGAAAUGAAAGUGAUAGUUUGGAUCUCUGCACAAACGACCGACUUCUUUUAGAGGUUCGAGUAUGAGCAUGUAGGUUCGGACCCGAAAGAUGGUGAACUAUGCCUGAGUAGGGUGAAGCCAGGGGAAACCCUGGUGGUGGCUCGUA
rnacentral:rRNA from 1 species